GACGAACGCUGGCGUCGUGCUUAACACAUGCAAGUCGAACGGAGUGGCGAACGGGUGAGUAACACGUGGGUGACCUGCCCUGCACCUCGGGAUAAGCCUGGGAAACUGGGUCUAAUACCGGAUAGUGUGGGUGGGGCCCGCGGCCUAUCAGCUUGUUGGUGAGGUAAUGUCCUACGAAUGCGGCGACGGGUAGCAGGCCUGAGGGGGUGGACGGCCACAAUGGGACUGAGACACGGUCCAGAAUCCUACGGGAGGCAGCAGUGGGGAAUAUUGCACAAUGGGCGGAAGCCUGAUGCAGCAACGCCGCGUGGGGGAUUACGGACUUCUGGUUGUAAACUCCUUUCACCAUCGACGCGGUAGAUGGAGAGGAAGCACCGGCUAACUACGUGCCAGCAGCCGCGGUAAUAC
rnacentral:rRNA from 1 species